AUGUGGACCGAUGAUCUGAAAGUUUCUGUUCAUUCUGGUGCCUUCCACUAUAUAUUAGCUAAAGUAGUUCAUCUAGCUUCGGGGGUCAACUUUUGUUUGAUCUGUAUAUAUGGUGACCCUUAUCAUAGCCAGACUAGUGCCAUUUGGGAUCAAGUCUCAUCUUUUGUGUAUGAUAAUCUUGGUAUGCCCAUGAUGUGUAUGGGGGAUCUAAAUGACAUCUUGUAUGAAGUGGAUGGUUGUAAUGGUCAUGUUAAUUACUAUCGUAUGAAUGCUUUUCGUUCUCUGGUCAAAAAUUGUGGUUUAUUUGAUAUAGGUUUUAGUGGACCUGCUUAUACUUGGCGUGGUAGACAAAAUACUUCCAAACCUAUUUAUAGACGCCUUGGUCGUUGCUUGGUUAAUUCUGAUUGGUGCACGCUUUAUCCUAAUACUAAAGUUCUUAAUCUGCCUAUAAUCCUUAGUGAUCAUGCUCCUAUUUUAGUGACUACUGAUAGUCACUUUGUCAAGCCCAGACAAACUUUCAAAUUUGAAAACUGGUGGUUGAUGGAGAAAGACUUCCAUAACUUUGCUAAAUCUACUUGGGCCAAAAGCUCUCUCUCUUGUUUUGCAGCAAAGUCUUCUUCUUUGGCUGGGUCUUAA
rnacentral:rRNA from 1 species